rnacentral:tRNA from 86 species
AAAUUUAUAGUAAGAGGAAAAUCCGUCGAUUUCAAAAAUCAUGAGGGUUCAAGUCCCUCUAUCCCCA